CUAAGUGCAUGUGGUGGAUGCCUUGGCGAUCACAGGCGAUGAAGGACGUGUAAGCCUGCGAAAAGCGUGGGGGAGCUGGCAAUAGAGCUUUGAUCCCACGAUGUCCGAAUGGGGAAACCCGGCCCGUUAAGGGUCAUCCCUGGCUGAAUACAUAGGCCAGUGGAGGCGAACCGAGCGAACUGAAACAUCUAAGUAGCUCGAGGAAAAGAAAUCAACCGAGAUUCCGCAAGUAGUGGCGAGCGAACGCGGAAGAGCCUGCACGACUAAACCAUCAGGUUAGCAAAACGGUCUGGAAAGUCCGGCGAUAUGGGUGAUAGCCCCGUAUGCGAAAACCAGGUGGCGGGUCUGAGCGUGCGACAAGUAGGGCGGGGCACGAGAAAUCCUGUCUGAAGAUGGGGGGACCAUCCUCCAAGGCUAAAUACUCGUGAUCGACCGAUAGUGAACCAGUACCGUGAGGGAAAGGCGAAAAGAACCCCGGGAGGGGAGUGAAAUAGAUCCUGAAACCGCAUGCAUACAAACAGUAGGAGCCUCCUUGAGGGGUGACUGCGUACCUUUUGUAUAAUGGGUCAGCGACUUACGUUCAGUAGCGAGCUUAACCGAAUAGGGGAGGCGUAGCGAAAGCGAGUCUGAUAAGGGCGCUUCAGUUGCUGGGCGUAGACCCGAAACCGGAUGAUCUAUCCAUGGCCAGGAUGAAGGUGCGGUAACACGCACUGGAGGUCCGAACCCACUAAUGUUGAAAAAUUAGGGGAUGAGCUGUGGAUAGGGGUGAAAGGCUAAACAAAUCCGGAAAUAGCUGGUUCUCCCCGAAAACUAUUUAGGUAGUGCGUCGUACGGACACUUGCGGGGGUAGAGCACUGUAAUCGUUGGGGGGGUCAUUGCGAUCUACCCCGCGAUAGCAAACUCCGAAUACCGCAAAGUGAUAUACGGCAGACAGACAGCGGGUGCUAACGUCCGUUGUCAAGAGGGAAACAACCCAGACCGCCAGCUAAGGUCCCAAAUACAUGGCUAAGUGGUAAACGAGGUGGGAAGGCACAGACAGCUAGGAGGUUGGCUUAGAAGCAGCCAUCCUUUAAAGAAAGCGUAAUAGCUCACUAGUCGAGUCGUCCUGCGCGGAAGAUGUAACGGGGCUCAAGCCAUGAACCGAAGCUGCGGAUGUGUCUUUGACACGUGGUAGGGGAGCGUUCCGUAGGCCUGCGAAGGUGUCUCGUAAGGGAUGCUGGAGGUAUCGGAAGUGCGAAUGCUGACAUGAGUAGCGAUAAAGGGUGUGAAAAGCACCCUCGCCGUAAGCCCAAGGUUUCCUGCGCAACGUUCAUCGGCGCAGGGUGAGUCGGCCCCUAAGGCGAGGCAGAAAUGCGUAGUCGAUGGGAAACAGGUCAAUAUUCCUGUACCAGGCCAUGAUGCGAUGGGGGGACGGAGAAGGUUAGGCUGGCCGGGUGUUGGACGUCCCGGUUUAAGCGUGUAGGCGUGCCCGAUAGGCAAAUCCGUCGGGCUGAGCCAAGGCGUGAUGACGAGGAUCCUCGGAUCCGAAGUAGCUGAUACCCUGCUUCCAAGAAAAGCCUCUAAGCUUCAGUCAUGGCGUGACCGUACCGCAAACCGACACAGGUGGGCUGGUAGAGUAUACCAAGGCGCUUGAGAGAACUCAGGAGAAGGAACUCGGCAAAUUGAUACCGUAACUUCGGGAGAAGGUAUGCCCCGUUAGCUUGUAGGCGAACAGCCGAAGGGCGAAGGGGCCGCAGAGAAUCGGUGGCUGCGACUGUUUAUUAAAAACACAGCACUCUGCAAACACGAAAGUGGACGUAUAGGGUGUGACGCCUGCCCGGUGCCGGAAGGUUAAGUGAUGGGGUGCAAGCUCUUGAUCGAAGCCCCGGUAAACGGCGGCCGUAACUAUAACGGUCCUAAGGUAGCGAAAUUCCUUGUCGGGUAAGUUCCGACCUGCACGAAUGGCGUAACGAUGGCCACACUGUCUCCUCCUGAGACUCAGCGAAGUUGACAUGGUUGUGAAGAUGCAAUCUCCCCGCGGCUAGACGGAAAGACCCCAUGAACCUUUACUGUAGCUUUGCAUUGGACUUUGACGGGACUUGUGUAGGAUAGGUGGGAGGCUUUGAAACCGGGACGCCAGUUCCGGUGGAGCCAACCUUGAAAUACCACCCUGGUGUCGUCGAGGUUCUAACCCAGGCCCGUGAAUCCGGGUCGGGAACAGUGCAUGGUGGGCAGUUUGACUGGGGCGGUCUCCUCCCAAAAGGUAACGGAGGAGUACGAAGGUCACCUAGGUACGGUCGGACAUCGUACUGAUAGUGCAAUGGCAAAAGGUGGCUUGACUGCGAGACCCACACGUCGAGCAGGUGCGAAAGCAGGUCAUAGUGAUCCGGUGGUUCUGUAUGGAAGGGCCAUCGCUCAACGGAUAAAAGGUACUCUGGGGAUAACAGGCUGAUUCCGCCCAAGAGUUCACAUCGACGGCGGAGUUUGGCACCUCGAUGUCGGCUCAUCACAUCCUGGGGCUGUAGCCGGUCCCAAGGGUAUGGCUGUUCGCCAUUUAAAGUGGUACGUGAGCUGGGUUUAAAACGUCGUGAGACAGUUUGGUCCCUAUCUGCCGUGGGCGCUGGAAGUUUGAGAGGGCCUGCUCCUAGUACGAGAGGACCGGAGUGGACGCACCGCUGGUGUACCGGUUGUGACGCCAGUCGCAUCGCCGGGUAGCUAUGUGCGGAAGAGAUAACCGCUGAAAGCAUCUAAGCGGGAAACUCGCCUCAAGAUGAGACUUCCCCGGGGCCUCGAGCCCCCUGAAGGGUCGUGGAAGACCACCACGUUGAUAGGUGGGGUGUGGAAGCGUGGCAACACGUUAAGCUAACCCAUACUAAUUGCCCGUGAGGCUUGAUC
rnacentral:rRNA from 1 species